UACGUAGGGUGCGAGCGUUGUCCGGAAUUAUUGGGCGUAAAGAGCUUGUAGGUGGCUCGUUGCGUCGGGAGUGAAAACCUGCGGCUUAACCGCAGGCCUGCUUCCGAUACGGGCGAGCUAGAGUUCGGCAGGGGAGACUGGAAUUCCUGGUGUAGCGGUGGAAUGCGCAGAUAUCAGGAGGAACACCGGUGGCGAAGGCGGGUCUCUGGGCCUUACCUGACGCUGAGGAGCGAAAGCGUGGGGAGCGAACAGG
rnacentral:rRNA from 1 species